GAAACAUCCGUGUAAGGAUGAUCCGGGACCAGGCAGAGGGUUAUGUGAGCUGCUCUGCAGUGGAAGCUGGGACUUUCGUGUUAUCGAAGCUUGAUUUCCCGGUACUCGUUCUGAUGAUGUAUCCAGUCCAUUGAGAGUCGGAGCGAGCGAGAGAAAGGAGUUUAGGUCAGUGAUGCCUAACCAAAAAUGGACGGGAAAAGGCUUCCAUAGCGAGGAGACAACAAGGAUCCUGCUGGUGGCUUCCUCCUACGCUCGUUGUGCCCAGCUAGGCGCCUCCGGCAACUCCUCUUUCCCUGGUCGAAUUCGGGCAACUGAUGAAAUCUAGAACAAGGCCAACAUAUUAUAGUAAAAAUAGAAGGUAUGUGUUAUUCAUAAUCAUUGCAAAUUCACCAAAUUCUUUGUCAUAUUUAAUCUUCUAUCAUUUCAUUUGACAGAACCAGAUGUGAACUAUUAAGACUUAGACAAUCAGAUUAUAUCAAUUGUAAACUUGAUUAGCUAGAAA